GGGGCUGUAGUAUAGCUUGGUUAGUAUACGUGCCUAGGGAGCACGCGGCCCCGGUUCAAAUCCGGGCAGCCCCA
rnacentral:tRNA from 1 species